rnacentral:lncRNA from 1 species
CACACACUCCCUGUACACUCGUUACCUGUAUCACCUGUGCUUCAUGUGCGUCAGUUACCUGCAUCACUUGCAUUACCUACGUCACAGACUGGAUAAAAGAUACAGACCCUGACCCAUAGCACUUUCUCUCCCCAUCACUUCCUCAUUUCUUCCCCUCACCCUCCCCCCACCCCCCUUUCAGAGGUGCCUCUCAUGUGAGACCUGUGCUGGCUUGGCGUGAUCUUUCCUGGAAUGCGCAGUCUCCUAUAACAGUCACAGGUAAUAGCUAUCUUUAAAAGAUUCUGUCCUGGGGAUUGGAGAGAUGGCUCAGCAAUUGCAGAAGACCAGGGUUUGAUUCCCAGCACUACAUGGUGGCUCACAACCAUCUGUAAUUCUGAUUUUAGGAGGAUAUGGUAUCUUCUUCUGGCCUCUGUGGGCACUGAACACAUGUGGUUCAUAUAAAUACAUGCAGGAGAAGACAUGAAAGACCAUUCUCAUUCUCACUUGUAGACAGAAGAAAGCAGGACUCUAGAAAACCGACUUGUCCAAUCUUGUAAUUUUGGUAGUAAAACGUUGCUACAUCCCAAACAGCUCACUGGAACAGAAAUAGACUGUUAAUGUUUU